GGAAAAGUCAUUCCAGUUGCACACUGUUUUCAACCUGGAUAAUGACAAUGGAGCAGAAGAUACACCUACUUUGAUAGAUCGAAAGGAUAAUGUCUUUAUCAUGUCUAAUCCGAAGUCAAAGUUUCCAGUACUGCAGCUAGAUUUAAGAUUGAUAUCUGAUCUUGUUGUUGUCAUUGUUUCUGCAACUUGUGGUGGCAUUGCCUUCGCUUGCGCUGGACAACCGGUUAUCACUGGAU
rnacentral:misc_RNA from 1 species